GGCCCAUCAGCUAGUUGGUAGGGUAACGGCCUACCAAGGCAAAGACGGGUAGGGGGCCUGAGAGGGUGACCCCCCACACGGGCACUGAGACACGGGCCCGACUUCUACGGAAGGCAGCAGUGAGGGAUAUUGCCCAAUGGACGGAAGUCUGAGGCAGCAACGCCGCGUGCGGGAUGAAGGCCUUCGGGUUGUAAACCGCUUUUCUGCGCGAAGAGGAAGGACGGUAGCGCAGGAAGAAGUCUCGGCUAACUACGUGCCAGCAGCCGCGGUAAAACGUAGGAGGCGAGCGUUAUCCGGAUUUACUGGGUGUAAAGCGCGUGCAGGCGGUCAUGUAAGUGGUGCGUGAAAGCGCCCGGCUCAACCGGGCGAGGCCGUGCCAAACUGCGUGACUGGAGGCAGGUAGAGGCGCGUGGAAUUCCUGGUGUAGCGGUGAAAUGCGUAGAUAUCAGGAAGAACACCGGUGGCGAAGGCGGCUUCCUGGUCCGAUACUGACGCUGAGGCGCGAAAGCGUGGGGAGCGAACAGGAUUAGAUACCCUGGUAGUCCACGCUGUAAACGAUGGGUACUAGGUGUUGGUCCUUUUUAGGAUCAGCGCCGCAGCUAACGCAUUAAGUACCCCGCCUGGGGAAUACGACCGCAAGGUUGAAACUCAAAGGAAUUGACGGGGGCCCGCACAAGCGGUGGAGCAUGUGGUUUAAUUCGAUGCAACGCGAAGAACCUUACCUGGGCUUGAACCGUAGUCGAAAACCCCUGAAAAGGGGUCCUCCUUCGGGACGGCUAUAGAGGUGCUGCAUGGCUGUCGUCAGCUCGUGCCGUGAGGUGUUGGGUUAAGUCCCGCAACGAGCGCAACCCUUGCCCUUAGUUGCCAUCAGGUUAUGCUGGGAACUCUAAGGGGACUGCCCCGGAUAACGGGGAGGAAGGUGGGGAUGACGUCAAGUCCUCAUGGCCCUUACGUCCAGGGCUACACACGUGCUACAAUGGCCGGUACAAUGGGCAGCGAUACCGCAAGGUGGAGCAAAUCCUUAGAACCGGUCUCAGUUCAGAUUGCAGUCUGCAACUCGACUGCAUGAAGUCGGAAUCGCUAGUAAUCGCGGAUCAGCAUGCCGCGGUGA
rnacentral:rRNA from 1 species